AUUUGGACAGGAUCCAUGACAUGCAAGUCUCGGUUGACUUCAAAUUGGUAUUUUUUCAUGCUUCAAUUCUAAGCUUCCGAACCGAAGCUCAUCAUCGGUUCUCUAUUUGUUUCCAUUUAUUGGAGCUCUUAAGUUCUCUGCUGGAGAGAAAGCAAGAAUGAAUCAGACUUGAGCAAGUGUCUUGGGAAGCUGUUAGAUCUUAGAAAAUAUGGAAGAAUCAGACUUGCAUAGGGGUUUUUGAAGGCAAUUUCAUUGUUG